AUUGAACGCUGGCGGAAUGCUUUACACAUGCAAGUCGAACGGCAGCACGGACUUCGGUCUGGUGGCGAGUGGCGAACGGGUGAGUAAUAUAUCGGAACGUAUCCAAUAAUGGGGGAUAACUAAUCGAAAGGUUGGCUAAUACCGCAUACGUCCUACGGGAGAAAGCUAGGGCCCUUCGGGCCUGGCGUUAAUGGAGCGGCCGAUAUCUGAUUAGCUAGUUGGUGAGGUAAAGGCUCACCAAGGCAACGAUCAGUAGCUGGUCUGAGAGGACGACCAGCCACACUGGAACUGAGACACGGUCCAGACUCCUACGGGAGGCAGCAGUGGGGAAUUUUGGACAAUGGGCGCAAGCCUGAUCCAGCCAUUCCGCGUGAGUGAAGAAGGCCUUCGGGUUGUAAAGCUCUUUCGCAAGGGAAGAAAACUUAUCCUCUAACAUAGGAUGAGGUUGACGGUACCUUGAUAAGAAGCACCGGCUAACUACGUGCCAGCCGCCGCCGUAAUAC
rnacentral:rRNA from 1 species